UGAUCUCUUCAGGGCAUAUAAAUAUGACAUUGUUUGUUCCUCUUCAACAAUGUCAUAUUUAUAUGCCCUGAAGAGAUCA
rnacentral:pre_miRNA from 1 species